rnacentral:rRNA from 1 species
CCUACGGGAGGCAGCAGUGGGGAAUAUUUCACAAUGGGGGAAAGCCUGAUGCAGCGACGCCGCGUGAGUGAAGAAGCGCUUCGGCGCGUAAAGUUCUGUUAUCGGGGAAGAAACACGGUUCGAGAGAGCCGUGGCCGGUACCCGACUAAGUAGCACCGGCCGAAUACGUGCCAACAGGCGCGGUAAUACGUAGGGGGCAAGCGUUAUCCGGGUUCCCUGGGUGUAAAGGGAACGUAGACGGCGAGACAAGUCAGGAGUGAAUGUCCGGGGCCCAACCCCCUGACUACUCUGGAAACUGCCUAGCUCGAGUACAGUAGAGGUAAGUUGAAUUCCUAGUGUAGCGGUGAAAUGCGUAGAUAUUAGGAGGAACACCAGUGGCGAAGGCAGGUUACUGGACUGUAACUGACGUUGAGGCACGAAAGCGUGGGGAGCAAACGGGAUUAGAUACCCUUGUAGUC